rnacentral:rRNA from 1 species
AUUGAACGCUGGCGGCAGGCCUAACACAUGCAAGUCGAGCGGAUGACGGGAGCUUGCUCCUUGAUUCAGCGGCGGACGGGUGAGUAAUGCCUAGGAAUCUGCCUGGUAGUGGGGGACAACGUGUCGAAAGGAACGCUAAUACCGCAUACGUCCUACGGGAGAAAGCAGGGGACCUUCGGGCCUUGCGCUAUCAGAUGAGCCUAGGUCGGAUUAGCUAGUAGGUGAGGUAAUGGCUCACCUAGGCGACGAUCCGUAACUGGUCUGAGAGGAUGAUCAGUAACACUGGAACUGAGACACGGUCCAGACUCCUACGGGAGGCAGCAGUGGGGAAUAUUGGACAAUGGGCGAAAGCCUGAUCCAGCCAUGCCGCGUGUGUGAAGAAGGUCUUCGGAUUGUAAAGCACUUUAAGUUGGGAGGAAGGGCAGUAAGCUAAUACCUUGCUGUUUUGACGUUACCGACAGAAUAAGCACCGGCUAACUCUGUGCCAGCCGCCGCCGUAAAAC